rnacentral:lncRNA from 1 species
CAAGUGUGGCUAUACUGAUCAUUUCAAACAGCGUCAAUUCUUUGGGGCAUAGACUAUACAAGGUGUCGAAGGCAUCCCACAGGGAUGCUCGCACAUGUUGACUCAAAUGCUUCCAACAGUUGUGUCAAGUUGGCUGGAUGCCAUUUGGGUGGUGGACCUUUCUUGAUACACACGGGAAACUGUUGAGCGUGAAAAACCAAGCAGCGCUGAAGUUCUUGACACAAACCGGAGCGCCUGGCACCUACUACCAUACCCCAUGCAAAGAUGGUGUUAAAGCACUCCGUACCAGUGAUAGAGGUCCAAAGCCACUGCUCCUGUGUUGCAGGAAGUGCUAUGUCUAAUCAUCUGGUGGCCCUUCUUUACCAAUCCUUCCAUUAGAUGGCUACAGGCUUCAGUCUUCUCAGUAUGCUGACGUCCUUAACCAUCAGGAGCAGUUCCACGUCAAGGCAUUAGAGACAACCUACGAGAUGUCACACAAAGUCAAGGUUGCUACAAGGGAGCAGAGCAGCAGCCCGGAAUGGCAUCAGCUCAGGAAAAUGAGAAUAACAUCCUCUCGUUUCUGAGAGGUUUGCCAUGUCCAGGGAGAGACUUCAGCUGACCACCUAGCUGAGCGGAUGUUCAAGGGAUCUGGUAUGCAGAGCAUGGAUAUGAAGAGGGGGCUAGCCAUGGAGCCAGUGGCUGUACAGCAGUACUGCACACUGAAAAAUGUUAACUUCUUUCUGUGUGGCUUCGUAGUGCACCCAGAUGCCCCAUGGUUAUGAUGCUCUCCAGAUUGCAUCAUAUUUGAUCCCAGUGUGAGAUCACACUUUGGACUCUUAGAGGUCAAGUGCCCAAAUGUACCAAGUUGUGAUGACUGCCCUUACCUGAAAAUACAGAACGGAGAGCUGAAGUUGAAGAGAUCUCAUGCUUACUACUGGCAGGUGCAACGUCAAAUCCUUCUCACAGGUUGUAACUGGUGUGGCAUUGUCAUCUGUGCACAGGAGGACAUCCUAGUUGAAAGGAUAUAUAAAGAUCUACAGGUUUCAAAAACUAUGAGAGAAGGUUGACCACUCAUUUUACCACUACUUGCAGAAGUGUCUAUCUCACACCUGAAAGGAUCCCCUGCAUGGGUGUCAAGUUUUGUGGUAUCAUCAAGUGCCAGAAGGCCAUCAGUGGAUGCCAACAUUGGAAACAGAGGCAGAGCCAGAGGAGUGAGAGUAAGAGGAGGAGGACGGGGAGGACGAGGACGAGGACGAGGACGAGGAUGAGGACGAGGAAGGCCAAGGACCGUAAUCUCUGAUGAGAUCC